GACCAAAGGCGGUGAGCGACUCUCGGAAGAUGAGAGAUUGCAAUUUUUUUGGAAUUUUGGAAUAUGCAUUUCUUAGAAUAAGGCUUAGCUCAUCACAAGCAAUUGGGUAACGAUAGGGUUGAUUCAACGACUCCUUUAACCCUAGUUUUUGAUACCUCUCCAUCAUUGAACCUCCCAUAUCUACUAUUUCGAGCCGACCCAACGACACAUCAGAUCGUAAAUUUUGUAUAUCCUUUGUGUGUUUUUGGGAGCUAGAGACUCAGCGCCG
rnacentral:misc_RNA from 1 species